GAACACCUCAACCCUUCAAGGUUUUUUUUACGAGCUUUGGAGGCGUUGGUAGUGAGCGCUGCCGGUCCCCCCGGAUCGGCUCGCUUCAAAACCAUUAGCUGGAUCCACCUUGACCUGGUUCUACUCGGCGUAAUAAGUCGUUAUCGUCGAGGACGCUGGCCCUUCUGGGCGGGCGGCCACAGUAAGGGUGUUUGAACCGCUUCCAACGACACGUCUUGCUCUCGGAGCAAGCGUCUUUGAAC
rnacentral:misc_RNA from 1 species